UACGUAGGUGGCAAGCGUUGUCCGGAAUUAUUGGGCGUAAAGCGCGCGCAGGCGGUCCUUUAAGUCUGAUGUGAAAGCCCACGGCUCAACCGUGGAGGGUCAUUGGAAACUGGGGGACUUGAGUACAGAAGAGAAGAGUGGAAUUCCACGUGUAGCGGUGAAAUGCGUAGAGUAUGUGGAGGAACACCAGUGGCGAAGGCGACUCUUUGGUCUGUAACUGACGCUGAGGCGCGAAAGCGUGGGGAGCAAACAGG
rnacentral:rRNA from 1 species